CAGCAGCCGCGGUAAUACGUAGGGAGCAAGCGUUGUUCGGAUUUACUGGGCGUAAAGGGCGCGUAGGCGGCGCGGUAAGUCACUUGUGAAAUCUCUGAGCUUAACUCAGAACGGCCAAGUGAUACUGCUGUGCUAGAGUGCGGAAGAGGCAACCGGAAUUCUUGGUGUAGCGGUGAAAUGCGUAGAUAUCAAGAGGAACACCUGAGGCGAAGGCGGGUUGCUGGGCCUGCACUGACGCUCAUGCACGAAAGCGUGGGGAGCAAACAGGAUUAGAUACCCCGGUAGUCCCUGUCUCUUAUAA
rnacentral:rRNA from 1 species